rnacentral:lncRNA from 1 species
CUCUCUCUCUCUCUCUCUCUCUCUCUAGUCACCGGCGUGUGCUCUCUCUUGUCGUCGGCGCUCUCUCCCGUCGUGGCACUCUCGUUGGGGCUUAGUCUCAACACGGUGGAAUCCGGCAUUUCAAGCAUCGGGCAUAAUUUGAAGAGAAGGAAUCCGGCGCUAUAACUCAAUUUUCCAAUCGAUUCAAUGAAUGGCAGGUUUUAUAUCUUGGCAUGUUGAAGUAGCUUUUGUAGUCUUCCACUAUAGCUUUGUUGGUCUUUCACAGUAGCUUUUUCUAGUUUUUGUGAUUAUCUUUUCUAGUCUUCGACGGUGGAGAAUGGGCUGAUGGUGAAGAUGGUGAUAGUGAUGGAGACGAUGAUGAAGACAUAGAAGAAGAACCUGCAGUGAGGACAAGAAGAUAGAAGCACACAACAGCAAGAAAAUCUAAAAAAGGCAGGGCUUCUGAAAAAGAGGAAACAAAAGGACAAGCAACAAGAAGCAAAAGGGUAAAAAAAGCUACUGCUGAUGAAGAAGAAGACCUUGAAGAGGAACCAAUUGAAGAAAUGAAGAAAGGGAAGAAGCAAGUUGUAAAGAGAAAUUCAAUGGUCGAUUGAAUCAAGAAGAAGAAAAGGAAGGUUGGUCAAGACAAGGAGUUCAUGUAUGCCAGUAAAAGAACAAGAAGAGGCAAGAGGCAUUAAAUGAUAAUUAAAACAGUAGCAUUAUGUAGUAGUGACAGUAGAUUUUUUAGUCUAUCAAAGUAGAUUUUUCAUGUCUGGACAUUAGCUUUAUGUUUGUUUAAUUUCCAGAUUUGAUAGUUGAUGGAAAAUGAUGUAGGGGUGACAGUAGUAUUUUGAAGUAUUGAAAGUGGCUUUAUGAACUGUUAGCAAUAGCUUUAUGUUUAAUUUUCAACUUUGAUAGUGGAUGGAAAUUAAUGUGUAUUUUGUUAUUUUCAGCUUUAAAUUUCUU